rnacentral:rRNA from 1 species
UACGUAGGGUGCAAGCGUUAAUCGGAAUUACUGGGCGUAAAGCGUGCGCAGGCGGUUCUGUAAGGCAGAUGUGAAAUCCCCGGGCUCAACCUGGGAACUGCAUUUGUGACUGCAUAGCUAGAGUACGGUAGAGGGGGAUGGAAUUCCGCGUGUAGCAGUGAAAUGCGUAGAUAUGCGGAGGAACACCGAUGGCGAAGGCAAUCCCCUGGACCUGUACUGACGCUCAUGCACGAAAGCGUGGGGAGCAAACAGG